UGAAGGUGUCUCGUAAGGGAUGCUGGAGGUAUCGGAAGUGCGAAUGCUGACAUGAGUAGCGAUAAAGGGGGUGAAAAGCCCCCUCGCCGAAAGCCCAAGGUUUCCUGCGCAACGUUCAUCGGCGCAGGGUGAGUCGGCCCCUAAGGCGAGGCAGAGAUGCGUAGUCGAUGGGAAACAGGUUAAUAUUCCUGUACUUUAAUAUAAUGCGAUGUGGGGACGGAGAAGGUUAGGUCAGCCGGGUGUUGGAUGUCCCGGUUCAAGCGUGUAGGUUGGUUCUUUAGGCAAAUCCGGAGAGCUAAGAUCGAGACGUGAUAACGAGUGUACUUUGUACAUGAAGUGAUUGAUACCAUGCUUCCAAGAAAAGCCACUAAGCUUCAGUUAUAUUAAAACCGUACCGCAAACCGACACAGGUGGGCAGGAUGAGAAUUCUAAGGCGCUUGAGAGAACUCUAGAGAAGGAACUCGGCAAAAUAACACCGUAACUUCGGGAGAAGGUGUGCCCCGGUAGUGUGUAGCGAUUUACUCGUGAAGCACGAUGGGGUUGCAGUGAAAAGGUGGCUGCGACUGUUUAAUAAAAACAUAGCACUGUGCUAACACGAAAGUGGACGUAUACGGUGUGACGCCUGCCCGGUGCUGGAAGAUUAAAUGAUGGGGUGCAAGCUCUUGAUUGAAGUCCCAGUAAACGGCGGCCGUAACAAUAACGGU
rnacentral:rRNA from 1 species